rnacentral:rRNA from 1 species
AGUGAACGCUGGCGGUAGGCCUAACACAUGCAAGUCGAACGGCAGCACAGUAAGAGCUUGCUCUUACGGGUGGCGAGUGGCGGACGGGUGAGGAAUACAUCGGAAUCUACUUUUUCGUGGGGGAUAACGUAGGGAAACUUACUCUAAUACCGCAUACGACCUACGGGUGAAAGCAGGGGAUCUUCGGACCUUGCGCGAUUGAAUGAGCCGAUGUCGGAUUAGCUAGUUGGCGGGGUAAAGGCCCACCAAGGCGACGAUCCGUAGCUGGUCUGAGAGGAUGAUCAGCCACACUGGAACUGAGACACGGUCCAGACUCCUACGGGAGGCAGCAGUGGGGAAUAUUGGACAAUGGGGGAAAGCCUGAUACAGCAAUACCGCGUGAGUGAAGAAGGCCUUCGGGUGGGAAAGCCCUUUUGUUGGGAAAGAAAAACAGCAGGUUAAUACCCCGCUGUUAUGACGGUACCCAAAGAAUAAGCACCGGCUAACUUCGUG